AAAUGACUCUCGGCAACGGAUAUCUCGGCUCACGCAUCGAUGAAGAACGUAGCAAAAUGCGAUACUUGGUGUGAAUUGAGAAUCCCGUGAACCAUCGAGUUUUUGAACGCAAGUUGCGCCCGAAGCCGUUUGGUUGAGGGCACGUCUGCCUGGGCGUCACGCA
rnacentral:rRNA from 1 species